rnacentral:lncRNA from 1 species
ACAAGAUGAUUAUAUAUAUUUUUUUCUAUAGCCUUUUGCUUUGUGUCUCAUCUAACAUUUAGCUAUUAGAGAGAGAUUCUAUAGUUAGAGCAUGGGGCAUCUAUAUUUGGUGGAAUGGAAUGGAAUGAAAUGGUGCAUACUCCCAGUGUAGGAGCAGCAGUUGUAUGUGGAUGGUGUGGAUCUUGAUCUCAUUGAGCACGACACAACUCUAAACCAAGGGUCAAAAAGAGUUGACAACUCUCAACACAAGCAAGCAGCCUAUGUGCUAGGUUUCUAUCAUGUAGAGCAUAUAUGGCUUGUGGUAGGAAUUUAACACCAUUGA